UACGUAGGACCCAAGCGUUAUCCGGAUUGACUGGGCGUAAAGAGUUGCGUAGGUGGUAGUUCAAGCGAUUAGUGAAAUCUUGUGGCUCAACCAUAAGGCUAUUAUUCGAACUGUUCUACUCGAGAAGAGGAGAGGUAUCUGGAAUUCUUAGUGUAGGGGUAAAAUCCGUAGAUACUAGGAGGAACACCAAUGGCGUAGGCAGGAUACUGGACUCUUUCUGACACUAAGGCACGAAAGCGUGGGGAGCGAACCGG
rnacentral:rRNA from 1 species